rnacentral:lncRNA from 1 species
AAAUACAGAGAACAAACUGAAGGUUGCUGGAGGGGGGAGAAGAUAAGUGGGUGAUGAGCGUUAAGGAGGGCACCUGCUGGGAUGAGCACUGGGUCUUAUAUGUAAGGGAUGAAUCACUAAGUUUGACUGCUGAAACCAUUAUUACACUAUAUACUAACUACCUUGGAAUUAAAUAAAAUUAAAAAAAAAAGAAAUGCUCAAACAUGUUUAUUGACUGAGGAAGAUGAGCCAGGAAAUUAAAAAAAAAAUUAAAAAUAGGGUUAAAGAUAUCCACUGAAGAAGCUGAAUGUCUAAUGGAGAAAAUCUUGGCAGAGCAGGGAGGAGAUGGGGCCAUAAACACUGAAAGAAUUUAGAUUUAAACAAAAAGUGGUGUAUCCUUCCUUCUGAUACUAGCAAGAAGAAGCAAGAUUGAUGACAGAUAUAAACUAGUCUGCAAGGCUGUAUGUGAAAGUCUAUCACAGCUAUCGCCUUGGAUUUCUAGAUGGACAAGGAAGCAGGACCAUGGGAUGAGAAUGAGAGUUUUAUGAACAAGCCAGAAAAUGCUCAGCACAGAAGCCUCCCUACUACCAGAAAAAAAUCAACUUUAACUUUAAACCUCACACCGAUACAGUUAGGUAAGUAAUUUUUUUUAAUGAUUAGCAGAAUAACUUUGAAAGGAGUAGUGUUACUGUAUUAUAAGGUAUGCCUAUUGGAUAUCAGCCUAACUCUUCUCACUUCCAAAAGGAAAACAUGACUUCACUGUAAUAGCAAAACAAAAAAAAAAUGGUAUAUGAGCAUCUGAUAAAGUGUUUUCCCCCUUGAUUUAUGUAGAAGAGUAAAAAGUAUAAGAAAACUUAAAGGCAAUCAAAUCCGUUAAUUAUUUACACCACAACUUACAAGUGAGCCAUCUAAACUUUUACUUACUGUUCUCUCUGGUGAAAUUGCACUUGAUAAGAAAAAAAAGUUGACUUUUUAUUCCAAGGUCUUGCUUGGAAGGUAUUCCAUUAAUAUCAGGAAUAAUCAGGUGCUAGAAGAAAAAAAUGAACCCAUGCUAUUAAGGAAGUGCUAUGUAUUUUAGUGAACA